AUCCAGCUGAUGAGCCCCAAGUAGGACGAGACACGUUUCCUGGAU
rfam:Schistosoma mattheei strain Denwood, Zambia genome assembly, scaffold: SMTD_scaffold0003059